GGAUUUAAUGAAAAUAUUAGCUUCACUGUAUGGGACGUUGGUGGUCAAGAUAAGAGCCUAGCCAUAACUUCUGGUUCUUGAAGAAGAAAAUCAAAGAGAAAGUGAAAUCUCCUAGCUGCCUACUUCAAGGUGCAGCUGAAUUCCUCUCAGUAAUUAUGUUCAAGUCCUGGAUGUCUAGGUGUUGCAGCUGGAAUUCACUCUUGCAGGAGAGAUUAUUAACCAUGUAUAAUCAAUGUGCACAGCAAUGUAAAUGAUGGUUAUGAUACAAUUAACCAGUAUCCUGGAUUUUUUUUGGAAUCGAGAGAUGCAUAGUAAUAGCAUUGGGUCAUGCCGAAUUGUAUUUUGAAAUUCCUUGUUAAUUUAUU